UUGUUACAGCCAUUGAAGAACAAUUCACUCCCUCGUCGGGACACAAGGCCACACUGAACACCUACCACGCUCUCCUCUCCGAGACUGAGAUGGUGACGUCAGGACAAAAAGUAAUGAUAAUAAAAUUAUCAAUGUAAGAAACAUUUGAACCCGCAGAGAAUUCUUGGUGAGAAAACUCAGUUCAGAGAGGCUGAUGUCAUAGUGCUGAUUCAGUUGGUGUAGUGUAUUCUUGGUUAUCAAAAUGAGGCUGGACAGUAAGAAGCUAGGAGAAUUACUUGGCAAGUGGAAUAGGGAAACUGAGAUCAGUAGCUGAACAAACCAGCUGAGCAAUUUACAGCAGAUACAGAGGGACUUUCCUGGACACAACAUCGAGGCCUCAGUGUGUUUCAGCUCCAGACCCAGAAAAGCAGCAAAACCAGGUGGGUGAUCCCAGGACCAGCUGCAAUGACUGAUGAGGCCCUGUCCUGCCCUGACCAAUCAGUGGAGCCUAAUAAACUGAAAGGGCACACCUGGAGAACUGAUGAAUAUUCUGCUGCAGUCUUCUCUAGAGACAUGAUUCCCACCAGCAAGAGAGAGAUAAAAGCCUCAAGAUAAAGGACCCAAUGUUCUCUCCCUAUGGGAGCAGCCCAAUCCAUUCCCUUCCCUCUCUUUUUCUCUCACAAGUGUGCAUCUCCUAAACUCUAAGAGUCCUCAGGAGACUUGCAACCAGGGGAGCAAUGGGCAGUGGCAUUGGUCCCAGUCUAAUCCGCUGAACCUGUCCCCAAGGUCCUCUUUUCUCUGGCUUCCCAGUGAGCCAAGGCAGGCCAGCCUGGGCUCUCCUAUUGCUUCCUCUAUGCUGAGCCCUUUCUUGUUUCACUGCCCCCAGCUUUAAUAAGUGUACCCUCAUAGCCCCCUGGACUCAUGUUGUGAAAUUUUUCCUACACAAAGUCAAGAACCCACACAGGACAGCUGGUCCCAGGUGGACCCGUGCAGGCCAGGUCCCCGUCUGGUAACAAAAAUACACAUGUACCUUUGGGACUUUGAAAUGUGAAAAAGCAGGAAACAUAAUUGUGUGAUCUUAAUUACAUAAAAGCAGAUGCUUAGUUUUGUAGGUACAUACACGGGACCUAGAAGGACACAUCAAUUUGUGAGCUGUUUGUGAUUAUGGACGACUUUGCUCUUUGCUUCUGUGUUUUUCAGUUUCCUAUUUUCACUUUUUGACAAUAAUGUUAUUUUUAAAACCUGGAAAACAGA